CCUACGGGUGGCAGCAGUGGGGAAUAUUGGACAAUGGGGGGAACCCUGAUCCAGCCAUGCCGCGUGUGUGAAGAAGGCCCUCGGGUUGUAAAGCACUUUCAGUGAGGAAGAACGCCUGGUGGUUAAUACCCAUCAGGAAAGACAUCACUUACAGAAGAAGCACCGGCUAACUCCGUGCCAGCAGCCGCGGUAAUACGGAGGGUGCGAGCGUUAAUCGGAAUUACUGGGCGUAAAGCGCGCGUAGGUGGCUUGAUAAGCCGGUUGUGAAAGCCCCGGGCUCAACCUGGAACGGCAUCCGGAACUGUCAAGCUAGAGUGCAGGAGAGGAAGGUAGAAUUCCCGGUGUAGCGGUGAAAUGCGUAGAGAUCGGGAGGAAUACCAGUGGCGAAGGCGGCCUUCUGGACUGACACUGACACUGAGGUGCGAAAGCGUGGGUAGCAAACAGGAUUAGAUACCCCGGUAGUC
rnacentral:rRNA from 1 species